ACUAAACUGGCGGGUAAUAAAAUAACAUAAAGGAAUCACAGACCGUCGGCCACAGCAGAUUUAUUGCAAAUUUACUUGGAUAUAAAUCCAGUAGGCCAGCUCUUACGUGUUGAAAAAUAUUGGGUUUCGAGCAGCUAAAUAAAACCAAACGGCGAUGUAAAUAAAAAAAAAAAUUAUACGGUGCUUGAAGUUAUUAAUUUUUUUUGUGGUGGUUAAUUAUUUGUUUACACAUUUUCAUGUUGCGGGACUGCCAAAACACUAUUACCGGAAUCAAUUGACAAAUGUUCCCUAACAUAAUACACAUUUUUAUUUUGGUUGAAUAUAGAACAGAAAUAGAAUAGGCUAAUUCCAAACGCAACAAAUUGAAGGAAAUUGAAGAAUGCAAACGUGAGAUAUAUUGACGUGGAAAAUGACGCUGAGGAGGAAAGAUAACAUAUGUGGAUCGAGAUUUCAUGACAUGCCCCAUCACCACAUCAAUGAACAAUUUUCUUCCUUUUUCCGAAGCCUGGGAUCAUUAAAUAAAAAAACAUAUUUUUAUUUUUAAGCUAUA